UGGGGAAUAUUGGACAAUGGGCGAAAGCCUGAUCCAGCCAUGCCGCGUGUGUGAGGAAGGUCUUCGGAUUGUAAAGCACUUUAAGUUGGGAGGAAGGGCAGUAAGCGAAUACCUUGCUGUUUUGACGUUACCGACAGAAUAAGCACCGGCUAACUCUGUGCCAGCAGCCGCGGUCAUGCAGAGGGUGCAAGCGUUAAUCGGAAUUACUGGGCGUAAAGCGCGCGUAGGUGGUUCGUUAAGUUGAAUGUGAAAGCCCCGGGCUCAACCUGGGAACUGCAUCCAAAACUGGCGAGCUAGAGUAGGGCAGAGGGUGGUGGAAAUUCCUGUGUAGCGGUGAAAUGCGUAGAUAUAGGAAGGAACACCAGUGGCGAAGGCGACCACCUGGGCUCAUACUGACACUGAGGUGCGAAAGCGUGGGGAGCAAACAGG
rnacentral:rRNA from 1 species